rnacentral:lncRNA from 10 species
CACAGGACCAGAAGGCGGUGACCCCCCUGGACCCAGCUUUCACUAUCUUGUGUGUGUCUAUUAUUUCUCAACCUGCCGAUCUGCCUGGGAACAAAGAGAAAGCCCCGUUGCAUUGCGGGCUGCUGGCCAGAUCCCGCAAUACCCAACAUAUUUCUACAGAGCACAAGGGGUGCACAGGCUCCAGUUUCAGGUGUUUAGGUUCAUGAGAUGUGGAGCCUGCUGAUAUGGAGGCCCAACCCUGGCCUGGGUUACGCAAGCCUGCCUAUUGCCCAAGCUGGGAACAGCCAACAGAGAUGAGGGCUGGGGUGUGGGACAGCCAGGGAGCAGCUCUACUUAGCCAAAUUGAAAUGCUGAGAUGCCAGAAGAAGCUUCCCCCAUCACUCUCUCUAGGAAGAAAUAUUUGAAUCUUGACUGGAAAGAGUACAGAUAUCAGAAAGGAAGAACAAGAGGAGGCUAAUGUGGUUUCACUCCAGAAAAUGCCUCCACAGCUGCAGGGAAGUUCUUGGAAGCCUGUAAAACUGUGUUUGGAAAUAGGCAGAGCUGCCAAAUAAUGCUGGUAAAUUUCUCAUAGCAGAGUAAGAGAGAGCUUCGGCUUUAUAGCAUUUUAGAAGAUUGCAUAAAUUCAUAAGUUAAAUAUAUGACACUCAUGUUCAGGAAGGACAGAACUUUACCCCACAGACUUUUGAAAUGAGCCAUGGAACAAGGUCCUGUGAGCCUUGACCUGGUCCUGACGUUGGAAAAAUCAGGCUGUGUUGGCAAGCCCUGCAGAAGCAAUGAUGGAGAAGCAUUAUUGAAGAAAUACGUAUUCAACAGAGAAUUGUUGGGCCAUCCUAAAAUUUACUUUCAGUAAAAAUCAUUCAGGAGGAACAAGAAAGGGUGGCAAUAUUGGCUGUUCUCAAAACAAACCAAAGAGCAAAGUGGGCUGGGCCUGGUGGCUGGCACCUGUAGUCCCAGCUUCUUGGGAGGCCAAGGCAGGAGGAUUGCUGGAGUACAGGAGUUCAAGGCUGCAGUGAGCUAUGAUCAUGCCACUACACGCCAGCCUGAGCAACAGAGUGAGGUCCUAUCUCGAAAGAAAGAAGAAAGGAAGGAAGGAAGGAAGGAGAAAGAAAGAAAGAAAGAAUAAAGAAAGAAAGAAAGAAGGAAAGAAAGAAAAAGGAAGGAAGGAAGGAAGAAAGAAAGAGAAAGAAGAAGGAAGGAAGAAAAGAAGGAAGGAAGGAAAGGAAAGAAAGAAAGAAAGAAAAGAAAGAAAGAAAGGCACCUUGAGGUCAGAUCCCUGCCAACAAAUUCCUAGAGUGGAAAGAAAUAAUGCUCCAACUCUGGUCAGAAGUUCCCAUAGAGAACAGUUUUCUAUGUUGCGUAAUAAAUUACCACAAACUUAGCAGCUUCAAGCAACGCACAUUUGUUAUCUCUGAAUUUCUGUGCAUCCAAAGUGUACACAUGACCUAGCUGGGUCCUCUUGUCUGAGGUCAUGUAAAGCUGCUGUCAGGGUGUCAGCAGGGCUGUGUUUUCAUCAGAGGCUUUAAGAAUCCGCUCCAGACUUGGGUUUUGACAGAAUUUAUCUCCUGGUGGUUGUGGGACAGAGGCCCCUAUUUCUCACUGGCUGUUGGCUAGAAACUAGACCCUACUCCUAGAGGCCAGCCACAGUUCUCAUCCUGUAAACCCCAUAGACAGUUCAAACAUAGUAGCCGUGUUCUUCAAAACUGGAGAGAAUCUCUCUCUCUAGUCUGCUGUAAUGGAACACAGUCACAGGAGUAAUCAUCUUAUAUUCGCUUGGCUACAGAUAAGUCACAGGUUCCUUCCACUCUCAAGGGGAGAGAAUUAAACAAAGGGCAUGACUCACUGGGGGUAACGUUAAGGUAUGUCUGCCACGCACCAAUAAAAUUCAUUGUGUGUGCAUGUGUACCUGUGCACACAGGCACAUGUGUAUGUUUAUGGGAGUUGAAAACAUCAUGAGAUGAAGGACAUUUCAUUUACAAGAACCGUGGAAGAACCAGGGAAGCCAGAAGGCCAGGCAGGGCUGACCCCCAAGAGAGAAGCAGUUACAGUAGAAGACUGCAACUUCCAGGGAGCUGUACAGAGCAGAGAUGCGCACACGUUUAAAGCAGGACCCCUGAGCAUGAGGGGUGCAGUGGGGAUGCAGCUAACAGCUGACAGCAGAAGCAUCCCUGAUUGGCCUGACCACCAAGGAGGCACUGUGGGAAGAGAAGGACUGUCAAAGUUGCUUUAACUUUUUAUUGAGUAUAUCAUACACGAACAGAAAUGUGCACAUAUCGUAAGUACACACCUGAAUGAAUUUUCACAGACAGGACACAGCCAUGGAACCAGACCCAGAUCAAGAAGCAGAACCUGGACAGCACCCCAGAAGCUGCCUUUGUGCCCAUUUCCACUCUUGAUCCUUCCCCCCGAGGAGGCAACCACUAUCCUGACUCAGCACAACGUGGACUCGCUUUGCCUGUUUUCAUAUACAUGGAAUCAUAUAACAUAUACUCAUUUUUGUCCGACAAUAUUGUUUGUGACAUCAUCCAUGUCAUUGCAUCAUUCUAGAGCAUUUAUUUUCAUGCUAUGUCAUAUUUCAUUCUGGAAAUAUAUACUAAAUUGUUCAUUCUAUUGUUGAUGGGCAUUGGGGUAGUUUCUUAAUAGGAUUUGAGUUUGGUUGAGUUUGUUUGCUCUGUGGCAUACAAUAUCAUCAUUUUCUCUGUCUCAACACAAAAUCUUUAAUCAAUGAUGUGGGGCGUGAAAGGAUUUUGUAAAGUCAACGCAAAGAAGUGCCAAGUCCAGUGUCGGGGAUAGUGUGGCAUGGAACAGAAGCCACGUGAGAACCAGCCACAUCAGGUCGAUUUUAAUUUCUUGAGUUACUCAUUAGAUUUCAUUCAACAAAAUGCAUCAAGUUACCUAAUCAGGCUGACUGGAACCAGGCAAAUUUAGACAAAUGCCUCCAGUGGACAUCUUGUAUAAUUUUGCUUUUUUGCUUCCCUUCUUGAGAAAUUCCAUGUAGUCCAGAGCUGUUGAUUAUAAAAUCCCACUUAUACACCAAGAGAAUGGACAUGGGACCCAAAACAGACCAAUUAAAGUUUCAUUCUUAGGAAUUUUAAUUUUGUGUGUGUGACUUUCUUAGUUGUUUUGUUUGUUUAUUUGUUUAAUGAGACAGGAGGAUCUCACAAUGGUUUCGAGACUGG